rnacentral:rRNA from 1 species
GGCGGCGCACAUAAGACAUGCAAGUCGAACGGACUUAACCGUUAGUUUACUAAUGGAGCGGUUAGUGGCGGACUGGUGAGUAACGCGUGAGCAACCUGCCUAUCAGAGGAGAACAACAGUUAGAAAUGACUGCUAAUACCGCAUAUGCCUAAGUACCACAUGGUACAAUAGGGAAAGGAGCAAUCCGCUGAUAGAUGGGCUCGCGUCUGAUUAGAUAGUUGGUGGGUAACGGCCUACCAAGUCAACGAUCAGUAGCCGGACUGAGAGGUUCAACGGCCACAUUGGGACUGAGAUACGGCCCAGACUCCUACGGGAGGCAGCAGUCGGGAAUAUUGCGCAAUGGAGGAAACUCUGACGCAGUGACGCCGCGUGCAGGAAGAAGGUUUUCGGAUUGUAAACUGCUUUAGACAGGGAAGAAAAAGACAGUACCUGUAGAAUAAGCUCCGGCUAACUACGUGCCAGCAGCCGCGGUAAUACGUAGGGAGCAAGCGUUAUCCGGAUUUAUUGGGUGUAAAGGGUGCGUAGACGGGAAGUUAAGUUAGUUGUGAAAUCCCCAGGCUCAACUUGGGAACUGCAACUAAAACUGAUUUUCUUGAGUGUUGGAGAGGAAAGUGGAAUUCCUAGUGUAGCGGUGAAAUGCGUAGAUAUUAGGAGGAACACCAGUGGCGAAGGCGACUUUCAGGACAAUAACUGACGUGAGGGCACGAAAGUGUGGGGAGCAAACAGGAUUAGAUACCCUGGUAGUCCACACCGUAAACGAUGGAUACUAGGUGUAGGGUGUGAUAAACGCUCUGUGCCGUCGCAAACGCAAUAAGUAUCCCACCUGGGGAGUACGGCCGCAAGGUUGAAACUCAAAGGAAUUGACGGGGGCCCGCACAAGCAGUGGAGUAUGUGGUUUAAUUCGACGCAACGCGAAGAACCUUACCAGGGCUUGACAUAUACAGGAAUAUACUAGAGAUAGUAUAGCUCUUCGGAGUCUGUAUACAGGUGGUGCAUGGUUGUCGUCAGCUCGUGUCGUGAGAUGUUGGGUUAAGUCCCGCAACGAGCGCAACCCCUGUUCUUAGUUGCCAGCACGUUAAGGUGGGAACUCUAAGAAGACUGCCGGUGAUAAAUCGGAGGAAGGUGGGGACGACGUCAAAUCAUCAUGCCCUUUAUGUCCUGGGCUACACACGUACUACAAUGGCUGUAACAAAGGGAAGCGAAACCGCGAGGAGGAGCAAAACCCAAAAAAGCAGUCUCAGUUCGGAUUGAAGGCUGAAAUUCGCCUUCAUGAAGCCGGAAUUGCUAGUAAUGGCAGGUCAGCAUACUGCCGUGAAUACGUUCCCGGGCCACUUGUACACACCGCCCGU